UCCCACCCAGCCCCAGCCCUGGCUCCUCCUGCUCUCAUCCUUAGAUCUGUUGGCCCUUGUGCUCUCACCCAGGUGCCUACAGUUAGCAGCUUCUGCGGGGGUAGGCUGCCCCCUACAUCUGCCCUGUUGAUACGGGAUUCAGAUUCUGGAGCUUCAGCAAAGUUUUUAAAGUGGAGGUGAUGGAAGAGACCAGCCAGGGCCGUGUUCAGAUGGGGUUAGGAAGCCAAUGAGGUGUGAUGCAAAAGGAAGAUGUGUAUGCUAUCAGGAUGGCAGGGACCCUGUCGUUAAACAAGAACCUACAGAUGGAGGAGACACGAGCACCAUAAUCUCACCCAUCAAACUUGUCCAAAAGGUGGUAUCUAAGAUCCCAUCGUGUCAUCAAAUAACAGAGGAAUCUGUGUUUUCUUCUGAAGAAAUCUCCUUUUCCGUGUCCAUCUCUUAGAAGCAGAGAAGAGAAGAAGCUCUGGGGGCGUCAUCUCCAAUAUUCCUGAC